GCACGUGUAACUGAAGAGAACAAUAAAAAAAGGUUGGCAAGCAUGCGAAACAAACGAUGAGAAAGAACAUGAGCAAGCGAAAUAAACUUUCCUAAUGCAUACCCGGGGCAAUUGGUAUUUUCUUUUGACAAAAAGCCGUUAUGAAAACGAAUAUGCAGUUGAUUAUUUGCAAUCACCAAUCAUAACUACAUCAAAUUUUCUAUUAAUUUUAUUACUAAUUAAAAAUUAAUUCUAUAUACAAUAAUAAUAAUAAUUUCAGUUAUUCGUUAAUAAAUUUUUUAUAAUAGAAUUUUUGAGAUAAAACUGCCGCAUUCUCCUGUAUUCUUUAAAGACUCGUGGAAUCGUGCAUCUUUGUGUCGCAACUGUUAUCGCUUAUCGGUCAACUGGCUUUUUUUUCCGAUGGUAUAAGUAGUAUAAGUAUCUUUGAAAGUCAGAACCUUCAAAAGAAUGAGUUUACGAAAGAGUAAUGGCACUACAUCUAUCGCAAGUAUGUUCAAAUAUUCGAAUCUUUUAUAAAUAUCUUUUUAAAAAUUUCAUGAAUACCAAAGAUCAAAUACUUUAUUAUAUCUUACUACUAUUAUAUGAAUCCUAUAGAAUGAUCUUUUUGGUUAGAUUUAAAUUUAUUUAUAGAUACGUAACGAACUUGAUUCCAUCACUAGUUAAAAGAAUUUUACGUGCAGGUGUCUCUCAAGUCGCGACAACGACUUUCUAUUUAAGUCUGUUUGGAAACUUCCUGGGCCUUUUGGUUAACAAAGCUAUUUGAAGAAUAAUUUUUUUUUUAAAGAAUUUACGCUGACAAAAGAAAAAUUUUCUUUCUUUGAUAUGAGAUGUUAAAAAUAGUUUCAUGAGAAACCUACUACAUACUUUCAUAAAUUUCAAUACUUUAGUUAUGGAACAGAGCACAUAUAAUUCUUAAUUUAUACAACUUUGACACAUUUCUUUAUUCUUUGUAUAAAUGCCGUUGCUCUAUUGUAAUCGAAGUAAACACCGUUACUUUUUACAGUAAUCAACAUCACUAUAAGCAUUCUUUUAAUGUAUUUUGAUUUCUCAAAUAAAUGUUUCCUAUUUUUCUAAA